AGAGCAAGGAGAAUGUGGUGACAACAGCUAUUAUCACCCUGAUCGCCAGGGUUGACUCGCUGCUCUGGCUGGCUGGUGGUACUCUUUGCUCCUUGACUGUUCUAUAUGUACCCCUCCUGAAGUUGUGCAUUGGAAGAAAAGGGUGUCUUUCCUGACAAUUAUGAAUGGAUUUAAAGGGAGAAAUAGACUUCAAUGCAAUAAUAGUGGGGACCUUAAGACCCCUUUAACAUCAGUGGGCAGAUUGACGAGACUGAAAGCAAAGAAACAACAGAACUCACCCAGACACUAGAGCAAAUGGACUUAGU
rnacentral:sRNA from 1 species